UAUAUGGACAUAAUUCAACAGAUAGUAUAUAGUGAGCUACAAACUUCAUCAAUAGAUUCACAUAAUGUUCUCUUCUCGUAAGGGCAAUCUUUUUUGAUUUAUCUUCUCUUGUGCAUACUAUAUCUUCGUUCUCCAUCCAUUCUUUAGCAUAUCUUACCAUGGCAUGCUGUUUCCUAGUGUCGUUCUUAUUUCGUGCUUUGGUGUUCCUGAGGAUUAACUCCCAUCGUAUCUUUUCUUUGUGUAAUUCAUCAUACUCUUCUAACAAAUGAUCAAUGUGGGGUGCAAGAUCGGAGCAACGUGGGUUCUCUUCCGUAACAGCCAUCAGGCCCUUGAGGAUCAGAUCGUGGACAGGCUGCGGAACUUCAAUAUCCCCUAUCACAACUGCUACGUCGUUCAGGUUAAGGCUAGGUGUUCUGCUUCUAGUACAUUGUUUCUGAAAUAUCCAUUUGAGCUUCUUCACAUAGUUGGUCCUAAUCUAAUUUUUCACAAAAUGGCAAGAUAAAGCC
rnacentral:lncRNA from 1 species